UUUAAUAUUAGUUUUCAUUAUCUUAACAUUACGAACCCAACAUGCAACUCUCUGUAGCCCUAUCUAUAAACAGUCCUUUACUCAAAAGUGAGAAUCAUUUCAGCCCAGAAAGAGGCCAACAGAGCUCAAAAUAAUGGAUGUUCAUGGAGGGUGGUUGUCCUCUCUGUUUGGCCUGUGAUUUCCACCAAAUCAACAACCCUCCCUUUCUCUUAUUUCCCAACAAAAACCAAUAAAAUAAAAUAAAAUAAAGUAUUAACAUGUUUAUGUCAACAGCAAGAGCAGUACUAUUAUUAUUACUUCCUCUUUUCCAUCUUUUCACCUUUCUUUUAAAAACAGUCCACAAAUUGCUACUACCGAAAAAAGGCAAUGAUGAUGAUAUUUAUUAUUUGCUGUGUGAUAAUGAUUUCUGGGCAGAACUUAUUAUUAUUAUUAUUAUUAUUAUUAUUAUUAUUAUUCGGAGCAAUGGAGAAAACCCGACCCGUAUCUUGGCGGGGCAAGACCCGAAACCUGGUUCGUUUUCGCAGCCAUGGCGUUGUCGUAGUUUUCUCCGUUUUGUUUCCCCCAUUUUACACACAUCUGAGCCUCCCUCUAUUUGAUAAUUUCGGAUCCGGGUCGGAUCUGAAUUUCGGACCAUUAGGUUUGGUCAAUGUCACCAUUACUCAAUUCAAUAAUAAAAGACACCUAUCCUUCAAUUUUCUCUAAUCUCUUUAGCUUGUCUGCAAAGAUUGUUUUACUCAAGAAUGAGGAUCAUUUCAGCCUAGAAUGAGGCCAACAGAGAGAAUAGAUUUUCAUGGGAGGGUGGUUGCCCUCUCUGUUUGGUCUAUGAUUUCCACCAAAAUCAACAACCCUCCCUUCCUCUCAUUUCCAAUGAACUCUACUUUGGCAUUGAUGCCAACAGUAUAGUACUUCUAAUAUUAUUACUCCCUCUGAUACAUUUUGUACUUUUCUUUUGGAAACACAGUCCACAAAUUGCUACCACAAAAAAAAAGAGAGGCAAUGAUGAUGAUAUUAAUUAUUUGCUGUGUGAUGAUGAUAUCUGGGCUGAAAAUUAUUAUUAUUAUUCGGGGCAAUGGAGAAAACCCGACCCGUAUCUUGGCGGGUCAAUACCCGAAACCCGGUUCGUUUUGCUGCCAUGGCGUUGUCGUAUUUUUCUUCUUUUUGCUCCCCAUUUUACACACAUCUGAGCCUCCCUCUAUUUGAUAAAUUCGGGUCCGGGUCGAAAAUGAUUUUUUUUAGAAACAACAUAAAUCCCUACAGUUUGCUUAAUUGUAGGAAAUUCUGAUAUUUGCAUAGUCACUGAAAUCUCAAUUUUGGGUCUAGUCCCCGAUACAUCCAAUGAAAUACAUUUUUUUCUUUACAAAAAUACAUAAUUAGCUUCCUAUACUUUCUUUUUUAUUUUAGAUGUGUCGAGAUACAUAAUUAGCUCCCGAUACAUCCAAAGAAGAUACACAUUAUUUGGUAUUUUUGUACUCCCUCCGUUUCAAAAAAAUGAUCUAUUUUUCUUUUUAGUCCAUUUCAAAAUGAAUGACCUUAUUUUUAUAAUACUUUAAUUUCAAUUUUACAUACGACAUGCUUAAAGAUUGAAAGAAAUUUUGGUACAUUUGAUACAACUGUAAUUUAGGACCAUAAGAAUAAAAAAUCUUCUUUACUUUUUUAGACUCCGUGCCAAGUCAAACUAGGUCAUUCUUUUUUAAACGGAGGGAGCAAUGAUUUUGCAAGGGUAGGGAUUUGUCUAAGUGUAACUGGUAAAGUAAUGUGAUGUGAUUAGAAUGUUAUGGUUUGAGUCGUGGAAACAGCCUCUUGCAGAAAUGCUAUAAACCUUUGUGACCGGCUCCGCGGUAUUGGGAGCGUUGUGCACCGGGUUGCUCUUUUUUCAGGGUGGUUGGCCAUAUGUGAUGGUUGAGCUUUGCUGUAUCUUGGCGUGGCAGCUUUUGGUGGGUCUUCCGAGAUAUUGGAGCUAUUUUGGUUUCUGCCUCUAGCAAAGGCUCCUUGUACUAGCAGCCAUGGUGGGGUUUAGCUUAUGUUUGAGAAAAGGUGAAUCUGCGCUACCCAAAUAUCUGUUUGUGUUGAAAGAAUUGAUGCUUUUUAUACUACACAACUUAUGCUGCUUAAGUUAAUAUCUACAGAACUUAUGAGACAAAAGCUCUCUAAACUUACCAGGUGGCUUUCCAAACAGGCCCUUAUAGGCUCCAAUCUCCAUCUAUAAAGAGUUUUUACUCAAGAAUGUGGAUCAGUUUAGCCCAGAAGGUAGAAUGAGACCAACAGGGAGAACAAAAAAAUGGAUUUCUUGGAGGGUGGUUGCCCUCUCUGAUUGACCUAUGAUUUCUCCAUCCCUCCAAACUAACAGCCCUCCAUUGCUAUAGCAUCAAUAGUACUACUAAUUAUUACUCCCUCCGUUCCAUUUUUACUUUUCUUGAAAACUGUCCACAAAUUGCUAUAUUAAAGAGGCAGUGAUGCUGAUAUUUGCUGUGUGAUGGUUCUUCUGGGCUGAAAAAAUUCGGGGCAUGGAGAAAACUCGACUUGUAUCUUGGCGGGGCAAAACUCAAAACGGGGUUUAUUUUGCAGAAAUGGCGUUGUUGUUGUCUUCUCCUAUCCCCCUCACCAAACACACAUAUUCUACACACAUUUGAGCCUCUAUUUCAAAUCCAGAUCUGAUGGAAACCCAGAUCAUUUUAGCUCAAAAGACUUGAGGCAAUCAGGAAAAAAAUUGGGAAUUUUUCAGUCUCUGGUAUGCCAAUGAUUUCUUGUUUGAUCUAAUUAACAGCCCUUUUUAGCUUUUGCUGUGAUUUCCUGGAUUUUGGGGACUUUACACUUUACUCGUUACAUAUAUAUUUUUUUAAUCUAAUUAAUGUGAGAAUGGGUUGCAACCUAUAGUAUUUUUUGGUAUAGUUUUCAAAUAUCUAAAUUUAAAAUUUAAAAUCUUGCAUUAAUCUAAGGAGCUGUUUGGCCAUGAAUAUUAUUCAUAUUAAAUGAGCAUUAUUUCAGCCCAGAAUGAGACCAACGACAGCAAAUAAUUGGAUUUUCAUGGAGGUUGGUUGCUCUCUCUCGUUGGCCUGUGAUUUCUCCUUUAACCAAACAAACAACCCUUUCCAAAAGUAGAAACAAGAAGCAAUGGUUGUUGCCGUCGCCUUCAAUGCUAGCAAUGUGAUGCUGAUGGGAGUAAUACUUUUCAAUUUUCUGAUCAUACUGAGCUACAUUUAAUUGCAGUUCUUUAAGGACGUGGGGCAAAAGAGAAAAUGGCCCUGAGCUAAGGUCUCAUUUCUUUUAUGUUUAUGCUUAAAUGCCACUUAAAAUAAGUCCUCCAUCCAAACAGGCUCUUGUUAAGGAUGUUCGAACAGGUUCCUGUGGAAAAGUUUCCAUUUUUGUCGAAAGAGGCUUUGAUGAUAUUGUUAAUUUGGGCUGAUUUUGGGGGCAUCUAGAUAAUCUGACCAGUAUCUUGGCAUGGCAAACCCGAGUGGCUUGUGAUUGAGUUUUCUCUUUCACAUGUCACUGGUUCUUUUGCAGCCAUGGCGAUUGUCACCUUCUCUUUGCCCCAUUUUUGGCAUUCUUAGCCUCCACUUCCACCUAGUCCAACUGGAUGCUCGAGGAGUUCUGAACCUAAAUGACGAUAAAAUUCUCUGUAUACACACACAAACACAUCAUGAGAAAAUGUCAAAAAUGGUUCCUUACCCGGACAGUGAUGAUCUUUAAAUCUAUCUUCUUGAGCUAGUAAUUGAGCAUUGAGAGUACCCAACUGGUAUCUUGGUGGGGCAAUGACCCGGAUGGCUGUGAUUUAUUGCAUGCACCUUGGGAGUACUUGCAGCCAAGGAUUAGGCCAACAGAGUACAAAAAAUGGAUUUAUUGGAGGAUGGUUGCCUCUCUAAUUGGCCUAUGAUUUCUCCGUCCCACCAAAUCAACAACCCUCUGUUGCUAUAUUUGUGAAAUUUCCAAAAAUAAAUAAAUAAAUAAAUAAAUUCCGUUGCCAUUGAUGUGAUGUUGAUAGCAGCAGUAGUACUAUACUAAUACUCCCUCCAUUCCACUUUACUUUUCUUGAAACCUGUCCAUAAGUUGCAGUAGAAAAGUUUCCAUCUUUCUAAAGAGGCAGUGAUGAUAUUUGCUGAUGAUUCUGGGCUGACAUUCGGGGCAUGGAGAGAACACGACUCAUAUCUUGGUGGGGCAAACUUAAUGCAUGCAACCGGUUUAUUUUGCAGCCAUGGCGUUGUCAUGUCUUUUCCUCUUUGCCCAAUUUUCCACAUAUCUGAGCUUCUAUUUCAAAUCUGUAUUCAGAUCCUUGUUUGAUGGAAACCCAGUUCGUUUUUGUUCAAAAGACCGAAACAAUCGGAGAGAAAUGCGGAUUUGUUUUUCACGGUGGUUGACCAUCUCCGCAGCAGCUCUAUGGUUAGAUGGACUACGGCACAGAUGACGGUAGAUUUUUUUCAGUGGUUGAAACAGGGUGGGUAGCUGUGUAUGUUAGGCAGAAGAAAUGGUGGAAUUUGUUGCCAGGAAUGCUCGGUGUUUUGAAGAGAAAAGCAGCUCCAUGCAGAAUUGCCUUUUUUUUUUUUUUUUUGGUGUAAAGUUACCUGGUACUUGUUACUGGUGGGAGGUGGUAGAUCCUGUGAAAAUAGUCGUGAAGCGCUCAAGCUAGCCUGGCAGGCGGCAAACACGAUUGUCAAAAAAAUAAAAAAAAAUGUGAAAAAUCAUGGCGAAUCUUACUAGACAUUAUGGAUUCCCAUGUAAGAUGAACAAGGCAUUUUUAGUUGCUGUUUCUGUUUCUUUUAUUAGUAUUUGAAAUCUGUA